rnacentral:rRNA from 1 species
UGGGGAAUAUUGGACAAUGGGCGCAAGCCUGAUCCAGCCAUUCCGCGUGCAGGAUGAAGGCCCUCGGGUUGUAAACUGCUUUUGUACGGAACGACAAGGCCUUUUCUAAUACAGAGAGCUCAUGACGGUACCGUAAGAAUAAGCACCGGCUAACUACGUGCCAGCAGCCGCGGUAAUACGUAGGGUGCAAGCGUUAAUCGGAAUUACUGGGCGUAAAGCGUGCGCAGGCGGUGAUGUAAGACAGGUGUGAAAUCCCCGGGCUUAACCUGGGAACUGCAUUUGUGACUGCAUUGCUGGAGGGCGGCAGAGGGGGAUGGAAUUCCGCGUGUAGCAGUGAAAUGCGUAGAUAUGCGGAGGAACACCGAUGGCGAAGGCAAUCCCCUGGGCCUGCACUGACGCUCAUGCACGAAAGCGUGGGGAGCAAA